UACGGGAGGCAGCAGUGGGGAAUAUUGCACAAUGGGCGCAAGCCUGAUGCAGCCAUGCCGCGUGUAUGAAGAAGGCCUUCGGGUUGUAAAGUACUUUCAGUCGUGAGGAAGGUGUUAAGGUUAAUAACCUUAGCAAUUGACGUUAGCGACAGAAGAAGCACCGGCUAACUCCGUGCCAGCAGCCGCGGUAAUACGGAGGGUGCGAGCGUUAAUCGGAAUUACUGGGCGUAAAGGGCACGCGGGCGGUUAAUUAAGUUGGAUGUGAAAUCCCCGGGCUUAACCUGGGAAUGGCAUUCAAGACUGGUUAGCUAGAGUCUUGUAGAGGGGGUAGAAUUCCAUGUGUAGCGGUGAAAUGCGUAGAGAUGUGGAGGAAUACCGGUGGCGAAGGCGGCCCCUGGACAAAGACUGACGCCCAUGUGCGAAAGCGUGGGGAGCAAACAGGGAUUAGAUACC
rnacentral:rRNA from 1 species